rnacentral:misc_RNA from 1 species
UUUCCGUAUGUGAACCUGCGGAAGGAUCAUUAACACGUUCCAAAACCUAAUCAACCAACCUGAGAACUAGUAAAGCUUCGCUCACAGCCAGUUGAUUCUCGCUAUGAUUGAAGCUGAUCUCAUUUCUAUGGCAUUGGCGUGUCUGCUUUCUGUAGCAUGUUUAAUCCAUAGAUUUGUUGAUCAUACUCUUUUUUAAACGCCCCUUCAUCAGCUUCUGCUUGCAGUAGCCUGACGAAUCAUAUUCUAUCAACUUCUACCAAUGCCUUCUUGUGUCGAUCAGCUGUUUUAUUACGGCCCGACCUUGUGCAUGGUUAGUAUAUCUAUACAUAAAAUCUAAGAACAACUCUUAGCAAUGGAUAUCUUGGUUCUC